AAUGAACGCUGGCGGCGUGCCUAAUACAUGCAAGUCGAGCGAACGGACGAGAAGCUUGCUUUUCUGAUGUUAGCGGCGGACGGGUGAGUAACACGUGGAUAACCUACCUAUAAGACUGGGAUAACUUCGGGAAACCGGAGCUAAUACCGGAUAAUAUUUUGAACCGCAUGGUUCAAAAGUGAAAGACGGCCUUGCUGUCACUUAUAGAUGGAUCCGCGCUGCAUUAGCUAGUUGGUAAGGUAACGGCUUACCAAGGCAACGAUGCAUAGCCGACCUGAGAGGGUGAUCGGCCACACUGGAACUGAGACACGGUCCAGACUCCUACGGGAGGCAGCAGUAGGGAAUCUUCCGCAAUGGGCGAAAGCCUGACGGAGCAACGCCGCGUGAGUGAUGAAGGUCUUCGGAUCGUAAAACUCUGUUAUUAGGGAAGAACAUAUGUGUAAGUAACUGUGCACAUCUUGACGGUACCUAAUCAGAAAGCCACGGCUAACUACGUGCCAGCAGCCGCGGUAAUACGUAGGUGGCAAGCGUUAUCCGGAAUUAUUGGGCGUAAAGCGCGCGUAGGCGGUUUUUUAAGUCUGAUGUGAAAGCCCACGGCUCAACCGUGGAGGGUCAUUGGAAACUGGAAAACUUGAGUGCAGAAGAGGAAAGUGGAAUUCCAUGUGUAGCGGUGAAAUGCGCAGAGAUGUGGAGGAACACCAGUGGCGAAGGCGACUUUCUGGUCUGUAACUGACGCUGAUGUGCGAAAGCGUGGGGAUCAAACAGGAUUAGAUACCCUGGUAGUCCACGCCGUAAACGAUGAGUGCUAAGUGUUAGGGGGUUUCCGCCCCUUAGUGCUGCAGCUAACGCAUUAAGCACUCCGCCUGGGGAGUACGACCGCAAGGUUGAAACUCAAAGGAAUUGACGGGGGCCCGCACAAGCGGUGGAGCAUGUGGUUUAAUUCGAAGCAACGCGAAGGGCCUUACCAAAUCUUGACAUCCUUUGACAACUCUAGAGAUAGAGCCUUCCCCUUCGGGGGACAAAGUGACAGGUGGUGCAUGGUUGUCGUCAGCUCGUGUCGUGAGAUGUUGGGUUAAGUCCCGCAACGAGCGCAACCCUUAAGCUUAGUUGCCAUCAUUAAGUUGGGCACUCUAAGUUGACUGCCGGUGACAAACCGGAGGAAGGUGGGGAUGACGUCAAAUCAUCAUGCCCCUUAUGAUUUGGGCUACACACGUGCUACAAUGGACAAUACAAAGGGCAGCGAAACCGCGAGGUCAAGCAAAUCCCAUAAAGUUGUUCUCAGUUCGGAUUGUAGUCUGCAACUCGACUACAUGAAGCUGGAAUCGCUAGUAAUCGUAGAUCAGCAUGCUACGGUGAAUACGUUCCCGGGUCU
rnacentral:rRNA from 1 species